GCAUCUUUUAAACUGGUCCCGUGAGGCUAGUAAGGGUGGUCGUAGCUGUGUUUGCUAUGCAACCUCUUUGUCCCGGGACAAAGAGGUUUUUUUAU
rfam:Clostridiales bacterium S5-A11 contig010, whole genome shotgun sequence.